GCGCAACUCAGACCACUGGAGCGGAGUAGUAUCUGGAGUUUCUGUAACAUCCUUUCCCUUUUUUUUUUUUUUUAAAGCCAGAGCCUCUGUCGCCCAGGCUGCAGUACAGUGGCGUAAUCUCAGCUCACUGCAACCUCUGCCUCCCGGGAUCAAGCGAUUCUCCUUCCUCAGCCUCCCGAGUAGCUGGGAUUACAGGUGCCCGUCGGCUAAUUUUUGGUUUUUUGUUUUGUUUUGUUUUGUUUUUUUUGUUUUUGUUUUUGUUUUGAAACGGAGUCUCUGUCGCCCAGGCUGGAGUGCAACGGCGUGAUCUCGGCUCACUGCAACCUCCGCCUCCCGGGUUCAAGCGAUUCUUCUGUCUCGGCCUCCCAAGUAGCUGGGAUUACAGGCGUCCACCACCAGGCGCAGCUAAUUUUUUGUAUUUUUAGUAGACACGAGGUUUUGCCAUGUUGGCCAGGCUGGUUUCGAACUCCUGGCCUCAAGUGAUCCGCCUGCCUCGGCCUCCCAAAGUGCUGGGAUUACAGGCGACACCCUUUGCUUUUUUUUUUUUUUUUUUUUUGAGGCGGAGUAUCACUCUGUUGCCCAGGCUGGAGUGCAAUGGCGUGAUCUCGGCUCACUGCAACCUCUGCCUCCCAGGUUCAAGAGAUUCUUCUGCCUCAGCCUCCCAAGUAGCUGGCACUGCAGACACGCACCACCACACCCAGGUAAUUUUUUGUAUUUUUAAUAGAGACAGGGUUUAACCAUAUUGACCAGGCUGGUCUCAAACUCCUGACCUCCUGAUUCACUCAUCUCGGCCUCCCAAAGUGCUGGGAUCACAAGCGUGAGCCAUCGCAAAUACAAAUAUUCAUUAAACGUAUAGGCUGUCUACUUACUCUAUGACCUUUCUACCUAGACUAAAGCCAAAAAACUCUGACACCCUAAAAGAUUCAUAAAUUAUUUACUACAUAAGGUUUAGAUGCAUCAUUACCAAUAUUGCACAUAGAAAUUUAAUGUUGUUAGUUGAGCAAACAGAUGCCAUGACUAUUUCUUCUCUUUAUAAAUCUUGGUGGCUUAUGGCAGCAGAAGCCUACUCCACUAUUUAGGCUCCUAUGACAGCUACUUUUCCCCUGUUGAGAAAGUUUCACCUUAAGUUGCUACCAAAAAAAUUAUACAAUUAAUGUAUUUUGUAACUCCUGAAAAUAAUUGUUUAUAUUAUCAUCUCAAGUAAAAUAAAAUAUUUUCAUAGAGAGAUGGAGAGAUGUGUAGGCAAUUUAUCAAAUAUUAACCUCUUCCUAAACAUGGGGUUGAAUUCCUCCCGUAACAUUGUAACGUUGUUAGAA
rnacentral:lncRNA from 1 species